rnacentral:siRNA from 1 species
UCUGAUAUCAUUUGUCAUUUGA